rnacentral:siRNA from 1 species
GGAUCGCGGCGACGUGGGUGGUUC